rnacentral:rRNA from 1 species
GACGAACGCUGGCGGCGUGCUUAACACAUGCAAGUCGAACGCGCCUGUCCUCUGGGUUUCUGGGGGGUGGGUGAGUGGCGAACGGGUGAGUAACACGUGAGUAACCUGCCCCCUUCUUCGGGAUAACGGUCUGAAAGGGCUGCUAAUACCGGGUAUUCACUGGUCACCGCAUGGGGUCUGGUGGAAAGGUUUUUUUCUGGUGGGGGAUGGGCUCGCGGCCUAUCAGCUUGUUGGUGGGGUGAUGGCCCACCAAGGCUUUGACGGGUAGCCGGCCUGAGAGGGUGCCCGGUCACAUUGGGACUGAGAUACGGCCCAGACUCCUACGGGAGGCAGCAGUGGGGAAUAAUGCACAAUGGGCGCAAGCCUGAUGCAGCGACGCCGCGUGAGGGAUGGAGGCCUUCGGGUUGUGAACCUCUUUCGCCCGUGGUCAAGCCGCGACGUGGGUCGUGGUGAGGGUAGUGGGUAAAGAAGCGCCGGCUAACUACGUG